rnacentral:rRNA from 1 species
UACGUAGGGUGCGAGCGUUAAUCGGAAUUACUGGGCGUAAAGCGUGCGCAGGCGGUUCGUUGUGUCUGCUGUGAAAUCCUCGGGCUCAACCUGGGAAUGGCAGUGGAAACUGGCGAGCUUGAGUGUGGCAGAGGGGGGUGGAAUUCCGCGUGUAGCAGUGAAAUGCGUAGAGAUGCGGAGGAACACCGAUGGCGAAGGCAACCCCCUGGGCUGACACUGACGCUCAGGCACGAAAGCGUGGGGAGCAAACAGG